CCUUGUACACACCGCCCGUCAAGCCACGGAAGUUGACAGUACCCGAAGUCGUGCACCCAACCCGCAAGGGAGGGAAGCGCCCACGGUAAGGUCGAUGACUAGGACU
rnacentral:rRNA from 1 species